rnacentral:rRNA from 1 species
UACGUAGGGUGCGAGCGUUAAUCGGAAUUACUGGGCGUAAAGCGUGCGUAGACGGUUAUUUAAGUCGGGUGUGAAAGCCCCGGGCUCAACCUGGGAAUUGCAUUCGAGACUGAAUAGCUAGGGUACGGUAGAGGGAAGUGGAAUUUCCGGUGUAGCGGUGAAAUGCGUAGAUAUCGGAAGGAACAUCAGUGGCGAAAGCGACUUCCUGGACCAGUACCGACGUCAGGCACGAAAGCGUGGGGAGCAAACAGGA